GUGGGGAAUCUUGCGCAAUGGGCGAAAGCCUGACGCAGCCAUGCCGCGUGAAUGAUGAAGGUCUUAGGAUUGUAAAAUUCUUUCACCGGGGACGAUAAUGACGGUACCCGGAGAAGAAGCCCCGGCUAACUUCGUGCCAGCAGUCGCGGUAAUACGAAGGGGGCUAGCGUUGCUCGGAAUUACUGGGCGUAAAGGGCGCGUAGGCGGACAGUUUAGUCAGAGGUGAAAGCCCAGGGCUCAACCUUGGAAUUGCCUUUGAUACUGGCUGUCUUGAGUACGGGAGAGGUGAGUGGAACUCCGAGUGUAGAGGUGAAAUUCGUAGAUAUUCGGAAGAACACCAGUGGCGAAGGCGACUCACUGGCCCGUUACUGACGCUGAGGCGCGAAAGCGUGGGGAGCAAACAGGAUUAGAAACCCCAGUAGUCC
rnacentral:rRNA from 1 species